AUGCUCCCGGGUGUGAAGCGCACUGUCCCAGCAGCUCAGACUCUGCCGCAGCCCAGCCUCAGAGGAAGCCGCCUCCUCUUGUCGACAGCCCGUUCCUGGCAGCUGCAUCUUCGUCUCCGCGGCCGCGCGGCUCUGGGCAUCCCCGGAGGCGGAGGCAUCUCAACCCAUCUCCGACCCGGAGAGAGGCUCCCAGCAGCUCCGGCUGCGCGUCGAGUCCCCAGCCGCGAGCGUGCGGGUGAUCCCGCUCCGCACCGCCUCCCCUAUCCCUCCCACCUCACCCGCCUCCCUCCCGAACCUUCCCAGGCUGUCACAGGCGACGAGGCAGCGCUGGGCUCGGACCCAAGCCGCUCUGGGCAAAGUGGUAUCCUGAGCAGCCUUCUUUCCAGUGGGUCCCUCAAUUACAAUCUCAGGAGCUCCAGCCCCAAUCUAAGUCCUCCUGCUUGGAGGAAGGAAGCAGGUGCUUUCAGGAGGAGAUCCAUUUCCUCAUCUCUGUCUAACUAAAACAGGCACUGUCAUCAGAAGAGUAAAGGCUUAUAGACUGCAGGAAGCAAGAGAUCUCAUUAUACAAGGAAAUAUCUUUUGAUUCUGUACCAACUGAUAGUCCAAGCAGAAAGCAAAAAAGCAAUGGUUCAGACUGUCAUUAAAAGCACACAUAUUGCUCAGUGGUUAUGGGCUUGCUUUUGGGAUGAUGAAGAUAUCUUCCAACGGGAUAGUGGUGAUGGCUGCACAUUAUGAAGAUACUAAAUGAGUGUGCUGGAUUGUAUACUUCAGAAUGUUUAAUGGUUGAUGUAUGUGCAUUUUAUAAAUAAAAAAGAACACCUCUUAAAUGUGAAAAUUUUAAAGUUGAUCAAGGUUUCAAGUAUAUUAAAAUGCUGGAAAGAGUUCCAUAUGACCUCAAUAAAUUAGAAAAUGGUCUGUCAAAAUAGGAUGGAUUUUUAUGAAGGAAAGACAUAAGAGAAAAAAACAAAUAUAUAGAAGGAACAAUUAGGCUUAAACAGAAUAGACUUCACUGGUUAAGGUACAAGAAAAAAGUCACUACAGCGUAAGUAAAGUAUGAUUCAUCAAUAAAAUGAAAUUAGUAAAAAAGCUAACAUGAUCUGAGGAUGUGUUUGCAGGAGUGUGAUUUACAUGAGUCAGGAAAAUAAUCUUUUUCUUUCACUACUCUUGGCAUUGGUCAGGCUUUUAUUAGAGCAGUAUCCUGUUCUGGUCUCUGCCCUUGGUUCUAAAGGAGACUGAGACAGCCUCUCCACCUAGAGUCAUAAACAUUAUUAGCCCACUCAAAUACAUACUGAUCUGCCACCAUUUCCAGCCCUGAAAUUGAAUAUUGGAAUGCUCUUAAUGCUUCAGACAACUCUGCUGAAUUUCUUUUCUUGCUGUGAGAUUUAUACAGCUUUCUCCAGACAUAACUUAAGAGUCAUACUCAGGAUCCAAGACAGUGCAAUGAAACUGGCUGUCAUAAACAUUGGCAGCUGGUACACAAAUGUCAGCACCACUAGGCUGGGAUCUGACAGGUCCCAGACAUGCCCCCAUGUGGUCACAGCUAAGCAUUGGCACUGAGGCUCCACAGUUUCUCUGUGUGAAAAUUCACCAGCCUCAUUCACCUCCUGUCAAUACAAAAUCACAUGCAAUGCUGAGGGCUCUCUUUUAAAAGUCAAACUGAGGAUAGAAAAAGAGGUUAGGGAGCUGGGGGUGUAGUUCAGUGGGAGAGUACUUGCCUAGCAUGUGUGAGGCACUGGGUUCUAUCCUUCGCACUGCAUAAGAAAACUAAACAAACAGGGAGUUGGGGUUGUGGCUCAGUAGUAGAGCUUGCGUAGAUGCUUGAGGCAUUGAGUUCGAUCCUCAGCACCACGUAAAUGUAAAAUAAAGAUAUUGUGUCCACUUGAAACUAAAAAUAUAAAAUUUUUUUUUAAAACUAAACAAAUAAAUAAAGGCAUGCUGUCC
rnacentral:lncRNA from 1 species